UACGGGGGGGGGCAAGCGUUGUUCGGAAUUACUGGGCGUAAAGGGCUCGUAGGCGGCCAACUAAGUCAGACGUGAAAUCCCUCGGCUUAACCGGGGAACUGCGUCUGAUACUGGAUGGCUUGAGUUCGGGAGAGGGAUGCGGAAUUCCAGGUGUAGCGGUGAAAUGCGUAGAUAUCUGGAGGAACACCGGUGGCGAAGGCAGGUCUCUGGGCCGCAACUGACGCUGAGGAGCGAAAGCAUGGGGAGCGAACAGG
rnacentral:rRNA from 1 species